GAAUGAGGCAAUACCACCCUGACAAUUCCCGAUUUCAUCACAUCUCAGAAGCUAAGCAGAGCUGGUCCUGGUUAGUAUUAGGAUAGAAGACCACUGCGAGCACCAGGUGCCGUAGGUU
rnacentral:rRNA from 1 species